GGGCGCUUAGCUCAGAGGUAGAGCGCCUGCUUUACACGCAGGAUGUCGGCGGUUCGACCCCGUCAGCGCCCACCA
rnacentral:tRNA from 6 species